UACGGAGGGUGCAAGCGUUAUCCGGAUUCACUGGGUUUAAAGGGUGUGUAGGCGGAUUUUUAAGUCAGUGGUUGAAAUCUCCGGGCUCAACCCCGGAAACUGCCAUUGAUACUAUUAGUCUUGAAUUCUGUUGAGGUGGGCGGAAUACAUCAUGUAGCGGUGAAAUGCUUAGAUAUGAUGUAGAACACCGAUUGCGAAGGCAGCUCACUAAGCAGACAUUGACGCUGAGGCACGAAAGCGUGGGGAUCAAACAGG
rnacentral:rRNA from 1 species